GUUUAUUUGUAAAAUUGAACUAAUGUUACUAAGUUGGAGUUAUUGAAAUGCAAUAUUUAAGUGAGUACUCCCAUUUGAGUAACUGUAAUGCAAUAUUUAGUUUGCAACAUUUCGGACAAAUAACAAAAAUUCAGAAGAAAUAAAGAACUUUCCUUAUUUAGAGUAUCAUUUCUGUAUUAAAUAGAGCAAAUAUGGUAAUAAGAGAAAUAAUUGAAUAACUACGAAUUAGUAACAUAUUUUAUAACAUAAUGCAUACCUGUAUUCAUAUUCAUAAGGUGUUUUACUUAUCUCGGCAGCAAGAAUGAUAGAAAUCUUGCGCAAUGACGAGUUCAAAUUUUGUUCGUUCUGCGCAUCUACGACACGGUUGACCAACGUACAAUCAGCUGAUUUUCAGUUGCUUGUUUUUCUUUGCAAUAAAAAUCAAUCAUCGAAUUAGAAACGGAACGUAUAACUUUUAUUAGGUGGAGUCAAGCUUAAUUGCGUUCUGAAGAGUAUAUCCAUCUACCAUCUAUAUCCACUAAAUAUCAACAAUGGUUAUUCACUGUAUCGGCGUCGAUCAACAGUUUACAAUGAUCGAACUACCAACAGAACCGAAUGAUUUCGUUGUCGCCAACAGUCAGAUUGUUCCGUAUUCGCCAAUUCUUUUGAAAAUAUUCAUGACAAAUUAGCAUCGGUUUUUGGUAACGAAAGAAGAUUAUAAUGUUGCUUAACGUAUUAUCUGCCAAAAAGAUCCGUUAGCACGAUCUUUGUUUUACUCGGAGAUACCAAGUGUGGUCCAACGUCAUUAGAAACAGGACGGAGCGUUAAUGGUAUAAUAUUCCCAACAGAUCGUGCUGAUGUGAAGAACUAAACUUUAUAGAAGGGGUAUCGUUUUCUAUCUUUCCUUGGGAUACGACAAUCGUGGAAGCCAUUAUCUCUACAUCUCUAAGUUAAAUACCAUGUUUUUCGCGUUAUAUGUGGCUUGUUCAAGGGACUUUAGACUAUCUGCGUUCUUUGUUAUUGCGCUUGAUAAUUAAACAGAAAUUAUCGUAUAUGACAAGGUAUUUGACUGAAGAGUAUGACAUCUGCACUAGAAUACAUGAACAAUAAAGAACUACUAAAAUACUUAAGUUUAAUUUUUAUUUCCUAAAAAAGGAAAAAACCUGUUUAUUUCUUUCAUUUAAGUCAAAACACAGUUCGCCGAUUCCUCUAGUAUUAUAAUAAGAUCACAUCAGAAUAUUUUAAAAAGAUUAUUAUGAUGUUAUAUAAUAUUUAAGAAUUGCGUUCAGACUUCUGCCUGAUUGAAGUACUUUCGCGUAGUACUCCUUCCCGAGUUAGAGGCUUCGACUGCGCUCUAAAAAAGUAUUGACUGAAGUACUUUCGCGUAGUACUGUUUUCUAUAAAAAGAAAGAGGAUUUUUAGCGAAUUGCUCUUAUUUGCUUAUUAUCAUAUGGCGGCGCCUCAUUUCUUCAUAGAAUUGCGUUCAGACUACUGUGUGAUUGAAGUACUUUCGCGUAGUACUAUAUCCUGAGUUAGCGGCUUUCGACUGCGCUGUAAAAAAAUAAUGACAAGUACUUUUGCGUAGUACUGUUUUCUAUAUAAAGAAAGAGCAAUUCGCUGGCUCUUAUUUGCUGAUUACACUGGUAAACACUGUUUUUGUCACAUGAACUUUGUUAUGAUUUUUAUUUAUGUUGGUGUACCCUCAUUAAAAAUAUAUAACAGUUUUGUUUCUAUCACAUCCAGUUUUCUUGUGACAGCGACAUAUUAAUUUCUGACCUCAUAUACGUUUCUUUGUUUACAUAACUGCAUUUAGUCGACUGUGUAACUAUUGUGUUUGCUAAAUUACAUUUUAUUUACAUUAGUUAGAUCGUAAAUAUGCCACGAAAGUAUUUGAACAACCCGGACAAUUUUUGUUAAGUAUGUAGAGAAUUAAUUUUUACAUCUCAGCGUCGAAAUUUCACAUCACUAAUUGAACAGCGCUAUUUAGACUAUUUUGGUUUUCCUGUGAGGAAUCAAGGCAAAUCCUGGGUUAGGCAUAAAUGUUCUGUAACGUGUGUGAGGCUCCUUUUAGGUUGGGCUAAACAAGAACCUAGACAUUUGUCAUUUGCUAUACCAAUUUGGACGGAACCAAAGGAUCAUUAUCCAAACUUGUCUUCGGCCAAGAGACCCAUCCUACAUAGUGCCGAACUGCCUGUGCCGAUGCCUCCAAAUCGAUCAAAAAGUGAGAUUUCUAGUCCGAAAGAUGGAGAUGAAUUUUUAUAUCUAAAAUAGAAAUUCCCUAAACUCAGCGAAGCGAAAAUCAAAGAGGGAAUAUUUGUAGGCCCACAAAUACGGCAAUUGAUGAAGGAUAAGAGCUUUGAAGAAAAACUGAAUGAUCAGGAAAACUCGCCUGGAAAUGUUUUGUGAAUGUUGUUCAAAAUUUUCUAGCUUUGGGGUGUAAUAUGUCCUUGAAAAUACAUAUGCUGGACUCUCAUCUGGAUUUCUUUCCGGCAAAUUUGGGUGCUGUGAGUGACGAACAAGGUGAAAGGUUCCAUCAAGACAUUUGGAGAACCGUUAUCAAUGGAAAUUGAGUCCAGGAAUGCUAGCAGACUAUUGUUGGAGACUUAAAAAGGACCUACCGGAAGCCAAAUAUUCAAUAAAAUCAUAAGUAUCUAUUAGAUAUUAGGAAAUAAUUCUGUAAGUGUGGCUGAAAUUUGUACUUUUUACGAAAGUAUCUGUUUUGAUGUACAAGAAAACAUGAUGUGUACAUUUUUUUUCAUUGAUAUAUUAUUAUUUGGUGGCCCUAGUAUAUUCAAAAUUUAAUAUAAAUUUUCAUGUCACAAAAAAAAAAUUACAAAUUUGUUGACCAGUGUUAUUA